AGAGUUUGAUCCUGGCUCAGGACGAACGCUGGCGGCGUGCUUAAUACAUGCAAGUCGAACGAGGUCCAUCCAGCAGCUUGCUGGGGGAAGACCUAGUGGCGAACGGGUGAGUAACACAUGAGGAACCUGCCCCGAAGUCUGGGAUAACACCGGGAAACCGGUGCUAAUACCGGAUACCCCCUACGAAUCGCCUGGUUUGUAGAGGAAAGAUUUAUCGCUUUGGGAGGGCCUCGUGGCCUAUCAGCUUGUUUGGUGGGGUAACGGCCCACCAAGGCUCCGACGGGUAGCUGGUCUGAGAGGACGACCAGCCACACUGGGACUGAGACACGGCCCAGACUCCUACGGGAGGCAGCAGUAGGGAAUCUUGCGCAAUGGGCGAAAGCCUGACGCAGCAACGCCGCGUGGGGGAUGAAGGCUCUCGGGUUGUAAACCCCUUUCAGUAGGGACGAAAUUGACGGUACCUACAGAAGAAGCCCCGGCCAACUACGUGCCAGCAGCCGCGGUAAUACGUAGGGGGCAAGCGUUGUCCGGAUUUAUUGGGCGUAAAGAGCUCGUAGGCGGCUUGGCAAGUCGGAAGUCAAAACAGCAGGCUCAACCUGCUGCCGCUUCCGAUACUGCUAUGGCUUGAGUCUGGUAGGGGAUGACGGAAUUCCUGGUGUACGGUGAAAUGCGCAGAUAUCAGGAGGAACACCAGUGGCGAAGGCGGUCAUCUUGGGGCCAUACUGACGCUGAGGAGCGAAAGCGUGGGUAGCGAACAGGAUUAAAUACCCUGGUAGUCCACGCCGUAAACUUUGGGCACUAGGUUUGGGGGGUUAUCAACGCCCUCCGUGCCGUAGCCUACGCAUUAAUUGCCCCGCCUGGGGAGUACGGCCGCAAAGCUAAAACUCAAAGGAAUUAACGGGGCCCGCACAAGCGGCGGAGCAUGUUGCUUAAUUCGAUGCAACGCGAAGAACCUUACCUAGGUUGAACUACGCAGGAAAAGCCACAGAGAUGUGGUGUCCUUCGGGGCCUGCGAUAGGUGGUGCAUGGCUGUCGUCAGCUCGUGUCGUGAGAUGUUGGGUUAAGUCCCGCAACGAGCGCAACCCUUUUCCUAUGUUGCCAGCGGAUAAUGCCGGGGACUCGUGGGAAACUGCCGUGGUCAACACGGAGGAAGGUGGGGAUGAGGUCAAGUCAUCAUGCCCCUUACGCCUAGGGCUGCAAACAUGCUACAAUGGCCGGUACAAAGGGCUGCUAUCCCGCGAGGGUGAGCGAAUCCCAAAAAAGCCGGUCUCAGUUCGGAUCGGAGUCUGCAACUCGACUCCGUGAAGCUGGAGUCGCUAGUAAUCCCGGAUCAGCCACGCCGGGGUGAAUACGUUCCCGGGCCUUGUACACACCGCCCGUCACACCACGAAAGUCGGUAACACCCGAAGCCAGUGGCCCAACCCUUCGGGGGGGGAGCUGUCGAAGGUGGGAUCGGUGAUUGGGGUGAAGUCGUACAAGGUAGCCGUACCGGAGGGUGCGGCUGGAUCACCUCCU
rnacentral:rRNA from 1 species